CCUACGGGGGGCAGCAGUAAGGAAUAUUGGUCAAUGGAGGAAACUCUGAACCAGCCAUCCCGCGUGAAGGAGGAAGGGGCUCUGCCUUGUAAACUUCUUUUGUCUGGGGCGAAAAAGCUCGAUUUAUCGAGAACUGACGGUACCAGAAGAAUAAGCACCGGCUAACUCCGUGCCAGCAGCCGCGGUACUACGGAGGGUGCAGGCGUCAUCGGGAUUCACGGGGUCGAAGGGGGCCUAGGAAGUCAUAGGUGAAAGGCUGUGGCUUAACCAUGGAAUUGCCAUUGAUACUGCAGAGCUUGAAUGAGGUUGAGGUUGGCGGAAUGUGACAUGUAGCGGUGAAAUGCUUAGAUAUGUCAUGGAACACCGAUUGCGAAGGCAGCUGACUGAACCUAUAUUGACGCUGAGGCACGAAAGCGUGGGGAGCGAACAGGAUUAGAUACCCUGGUAGUC
rnacentral:rRNA from 1 species